UACGUAGGGUGCGAGCGUUAAUCGGAAUUACUGGGCGUAAAGCGCACGUAGGCGGCUUUGUAAGUUAGAGGUGAAAGCCUGGAGCUCAACUCCAGAACUGCCUUUAAGACUGCAUCGCUUGAAUCCUGGAGAGGUGAGUGGAAUUCCGAGUGUAGAGGUGAAAUUCGUAGAUAUUCGGAAGAACACCAGUGGCGAAGGCGGCUCACUGGACAGGUAUUGACGCUGAGGUGCGAAAGCGUGGGGAGCAAACAGG
rnacentral:rRNA from 1 species